rnacentral:rRNA from 1 species
GACGAACGCUGGCGGCGUGCUUAACACAUGCAAGUCGAACGGAAAGGCCCUGCUUUUGUGGGGUGCUCGAGUGGCGAACGGGUGAGUAACACGUGAGUAACCUGCCCUUGACUUUGGGAUAACUUCAGGAAACUGGGGCUAAUACCGGAUAGGAGCUCCUGCUGCAUGGUGGGGGUUGGAAAGUUUCGGCGGUUGGGGAUGGACUCGCGGCUUAUCAGCUUGUUGGUGGGGUAGUGGCUUACCAAGGCUUUGACGGGUAGCCGGCCUGAGAGGGUGACCGGCCACAUUGGGACUGAGAUACGGCCCAGACUCCUACGGGAGGCAGCAGUGGGGAAUAUUGCACAAUGGGCGGAAGCCUGAUGCAGCAACGCCGCGUGCAGGAUGACGGCCUUCGGGUUGUAAACCGCUUUCGCCUGUGACGAAGCGUGAGUGACGGUGAUGGGUAAAGAAGCACCGGCUAACUACGUGCCAGCAGCCGCGGUGAUACGUAGGGUGCGAGCGUUGUCCGGAUUUAUUGGGCGUAAAGGGCUCGUAGGUGGUUGAUCGCGUCGGAGGUGUAAUCUUGGGGCUUAACCCUGAGCGUGCUUUCGAUACGGGUUGACUUGAGGAAGGUAGGGGAGAAUGGAAUUCCUGGUGGAGCGGUGGAAUGCGCGGAUAUCAGGAGGAACACCAGUGGCGAAGGCGGUUCUCUGGGCCUUUCCUGACGCUGAGGAGCGAAAGCGUGGGGAGCGAACAGGCUUAGAUACCCUGGUAGUCCACGCUGUAAACGGUGGGUACUAGGUGUGGGGUCCAUUCCACGGGUUCCGUGCCGUAGCUAACGCUUUAAGUACCCCGCCUGGGGAGUACGGCCGCAAGGCUAAAACUCAAAGGAAUUGACGGGGCCCCGCACAAGCGGCGGAGCAUGCGGAUUAAUUCGAUGCAACGCGUAGAACCUUACCUGGGUUUGACAUGGAUCGGGAGUGCUCAGAGAUGGGUGUGCCUCUUUUGGGGUCGGUUCACAGGUGGUGCAUGGCUGUCGUCAGCUCGUGUCGUGAGAUGUUGGGUUAAGUCCCGCAACGAGCGCAACCCUUGUACACUGUUGCCAGCACGUUAUGGUGGGGACUCAGUGGAGACCGCCGGGGUCAACUCGGAGGAAGGUGGGGAUGACGUCAAGUCAUCAUGCCCCUUAUGUCCAGGGCUUCACGCAUGCUACAAUGGCUGGUACAGAGAGUGGCGAGCCUGUGAGGGUGAGCGAAUCUCGGAAAGCCGGUCUCAGUUCGGAUUGGGGUCUGCAACUCGACCUCAUGAAGUCGGAGUCGCUAGUAAUCGCAGAUCAGCAACGCUGCGGUGAAUACGUUCCCGGG